GACGAACGCUGGCGGCGUGCUUAACACAUGCAAGUCGAACGGUAAGGCCCUUCGGGGUACACGAGUGGCGAACGGGUGAGUAACACGUGGGUGAUCUGCCCUGCACUUCGGGAUAAGCCUGGGAAACUGGGUCUAAUACCGGAUAGGACCACUGCCUGCAUGGGUGGUGGUGGAAAGCUUUUGCGGUGUGGGAUGGGCCCGCGGCCUAUCAGCUUGUUGUUGGGGUGAUGGCCUACCAAGGCGACGACGGGUAGCCGGCCUGAGAGGGUGACCGGCCACACUGGGACUGGGAUACGGCCCAGACUCCUACGGGAGGCAGCAGUGGGGAAUAUUGCACAAUGGGCGCAAGCCUGAUGCAGCGACGCCGCGUGAGGGAUGACGGCCUUCGGGUUGUAAACCUCUUUCAGCACCGACGAAGCGCAAGUGACGGUAGGUGCAGAAGAAGGACCGGCCAGCUACGCGCCAGCCGCCGCCGUAA
rnacentral:rRNA from 1 species